rnacentral:lncRNA from 1 species
GUCAGAGAAAGACAAGUACCGUCUGAUUUCACUCAGAUGUUGAAUGUAAGAAACAAACAAACAAAAAGGAGUGAAGAACAAAAGAGAAACCAACUAAGACACAGAUUCGUAACUGCAGAGAACAAACUGAUGGUUACCAGCUCAGAGGGCAAAGAGAAGCCAGCAGAGACCUGGGCCUCCGAAGAUCUGCCUCAGUUGCCUGAAAUCAGAGGCUUGCCCACACAAAGACUCGAAGAUCCUGGCAGCGUGCCUGACCUGCCUCUACCCCCCAGGCACACCCCAAGCCGUCCCGGUCAGUCCCUAGACCUGCAAAGCAAAUGCCACUGGCCCUGGAGUGCCCUUGAUUAAUUCAUCUGUUAAUUUAACACUCAGUCAUGGAGCACAUUCAGAAAUGAAGUUCUUGGGGCGCCUGGGUGGCUCAGUGGGUUAAGCCGCUGCCUUCGGCUCAGGUCAUGAUCUCAGAGUCCUGGGAUCGAGNNNNNNNNNN